GUUUGCUGCUGUGCUGAGUGCACAACAAAAGCAAAAACAUGCUUUGAACUUAGAGGGCAAAAAAAGUGACCUUGAGGGGACAUACGUAUGGACACCUGUGGGAAUGCAACGUUGUAUUUCUGGUGCAAUGCGGUCAAUGGUAACUUGGAGGUCAGUGGUUUGAGGCUCCAAAGCCACCUAUGGUGAGCCUUUAGUACCACAGUCCCCAUGACUCAUUGACCACAUUUUCUCUGCACGCUGCAAACCCAGCACCCAGUUCAGCAUCUAGCAUGCGAGGGGUUUGAGAAAGAAACAGAAACGGAGUGAGUGCCGUGGAAUUGGUCCUGUGAUGGUUGGGAACGCUUGGCAGCGUGUCCUGCUGGAUACUACAUCAGCCAGCGCUAAGCUGACCUGCUGAGCGCCUAGGAGCGGUCACAGCUUGGUAAUAAGAGGCUGAGAAACCUGAGACCUUUCAUAGUCCAACGGUGUUAGAAUUAGCUCAACCCAGAACCACCUUCAAUUCAACCCAGCAGUGCUUAGAAUGGCUCUCAUCAGAAUCAGCCAGCUGUUGGCUCUCCUGUGCGUGGAGAAAGGGUCUAUCCUUGGAAGAACCACCCCGAACGUUUCCUGCUAACUCUGAAGACCUGGAGUGGACUCUCAGCUCUGGCAUAGGAUGGGCUGCAUUACAUAGGGUGUUUGUUGCUUUAUACCAGCCUUUCCCAUGCCCACCUUGCUGAACAGCAUCUCCUGGAUGUUAAAACGAGAGGGACGUUCAUAGUGACACAGGCUUACUCGUGUUCUUCACAACAAUUGAGCAGUGGCCUCCAUCCGGGUUCUAUUGAGGGGUGGGGUUUAGAGGUCCUGCCAGCCAUUUUUCAUAUUACAAAGAGUCUGCCUCAGAACUGGGUUUGCAUCCCAACCCAAACACCAACUACCCCAAACAAAAAAGCAAAAAACUAUACUUGAUGCUAGUUUUAAUUUCCCUUUUUCUUAGCUUAUAUACUCUGUUGCAUAUGAUUUUUAGGAUUAAUUCCUAAGAUAUGAUUAAUACACAUAAUUCCUAAACUAAUAACAAUGAUUUUUAAAAGUGUU